rnacentral:rRNA from 1 species
UCGGGAAUAUUGCGGCAAUGGAGGAAACUCUGACGCAGUGACGCCGCGUGCAGGAAGAAGGUUUUCGGAUUGUAAACUGCUUUAGACAGGGACGAAAUAAAUGACGGUACCUGUAGAAUAAGCUCCGGCUAACUACGUGCCAGCAGCCGCGGUAAUACGUAGGGAGCAAGCGUUAUCCGGAUUUAUUGGGUGUAAAGGGUGCGUAGACGGAAAGACAAGUUAGUUGUGAAAUACCUCGGCUUAACUGAGGAACUGCAACUAAAACUAUCUAUCUUGAGUACUGGAGGGGAAAGCGGAAUUCCUAGUGUAGCGGUGAAAUGCGUAGAUAUUAGGAAGAACACCGGUGGCGAAGGCGGCUUUCUGGACAGUAACUGACGUUGAGGCACGAAAGUGUGGGGAGCAAACAGGAUUAGAUACCCUGGUAGU